UCCUACGGGAGGCAGCAGUGGGGAAUAUUGGACAAUGGGCGAAAGCCUGAUCCAGCAAUGCCGCGUGAGUGAUGAAGGCCUUAGGGUUGUAAAGCUCUUUUACCCGGGAUGAUAAUGACA
rnacentral:rRNA from 1 species